rnacentral:rRNA from 1 species
GACGAACGCUGGCGGCGUGCCUAAUACAUGCAAGUCGAACGCACUCUCGUUUAGAUUGAAGGAGCUUGCUCCUGAUUGAUAAACAUUUGAGUGAGUGGCGGACGGGUGAGUAACACGUGGGUAACCUGCCCUAAAGUGGGGGAUAACAUUUGGAAACAGAUGCUAAUACCGCAUAAAACCUAAACACCGCAUGGUGUAGGGUUGAAAGAUGGUUUCGGCUAUCACUUUAGGAUGGACCGCGGUGCAUUAGUUAGUUGGUGAGGUAAAAGGGCUCACCAAGACCGUGAUGCAUAGCCGACCUGAGAGGGUAAAUCGGCCACACUGGGACUGAGACACGGCCCAGACUCCUAC